CGUGCUGCAGGGCUGGGGGCUGGGCAGGGGGUCUCUGCCAGGGCCCCGGGUCCCACAGAUCAGACACCAGGUGCCAACCCCUCCCAGCUCUGCUGUCAAAGAUGGAGCAAGUGCAGAUUGUGGGGGGUGAAAGGGGGAGAUGUGGGCUUAUUGGUCCUAGCCAGGAAAGGGACAGAGGGAUACUAGGCCGGAUGGAUCUGUGGGUUGGAUCUGGGGGAGCAAAGGGAGGGUCCCAGGCUGGAGGGGCACAAGUCUGACCGCCCUCCCCCACCAGCUGGCGAAGCAGGUCGAGAUCUCCCCGGAGCUGACGAAGGCGGAGCUCCGACAGGACCUUACGGCGCAUGAAAAUCCCACUCCAAUCCGGGAGUAUGGUGAAGAGACUGUGCGGGAGCAAAGCUACGUGACACGGGAGGAGGAGUGGAGAGCCUGGCCUCCAGGGGCAGGGGAGGACCCAAGAUACAGGCCACCAGGGCCCAAUGAAAUGCGUCCCAGAAUCCUCAAGGUGCUGACUGAGGAGAUAUCGGAGCCACUGGCGAUUAUCUUUGAGAAGUCACGGAAGACGGGAGAGAUUCCAGAAGACUGGAAAAGGGCAAAGCUAGUGCCCAUCUAUAAAAAGGGGAAUAAGGACAACCCGGGGAAUUACAGACCAGUCAGCUUCACUUCUGAACCCGGAAAGAUAAUGGAGCAAAUCGUUAAGCAAUCAAUUUGCAGACACCUGGAAGAUAAUGAGGUGAUAAGUAACAGUCAGCCUGGAUUUGUCAAGAACAAAUGGUGUCAAACCAACCUGAUAGUUUUCUGUGACAGGGUAACAAGUCUUGUGGAUAGGGGGAAGCGGUAGACGUGGUAUAUCUGGACCUUAGUAAGGCUUUUGAUACUGUCCCCCUGACCUUCUGCUAAACAAACUAGGAAAAAGCAACCUAGAUGGAGCUCCUGUAAGGAGGGUGAAAAACUGGUUGGAAAACGGUUCCCCGAAAGUUGUUAUCAGUGGUUCACAGUCAUGCUGGAAGGGCAUAACGAGUGGGGUCCUGCAGGGAUCGGUUCUGGGUCUGGUUCUGUUCAAUAUCUUCAUCAGUGAUUUAGAUAAUGACAUAGAGAGCACACUGAUAAAGUCUGCGGACGAUACCAAGCUGGGAGGGGUUGCAAGUGCUUUGGAGGGUAGGAUUAAAAUUCAAAAUGAUCUGGACAAACUGGAGAAAUGGUCAGAAGUAGAUAGGAUGAAAUUCAAUAAGGACAAAUGCAAAGUACAACACUUCGGAAGGAAUAAUCAGUCGCACACACACAAUGGGAAAUGACCGCCGAGGAAGGAGCACCGCGGAAAGGGAUCUGGGGGUCAGAGUGGGUCACAAGCUAAAUAUGAGUCAACAGUGUGACUCUGUUGCAAAAAAAGCGAACCUCCUUCUGGGCUGGAUUAGCAGGAGUGUUGUAAGCAAGACACGAGAAGUGACUCUUCCGCUCUACCCCGCGCUGGUUAGGCCUGAACUGGAGGUUUGUGUUCAGUUCUGGUGCCACAUUUCAGGAAGGAUGUGGACAAAUUGGAGAAAGUCCAGAGAAGAGCAACAAAAAUGAUGAGAAGUCUAGAAAACAGGAGCUAUGAGGGGAGAUUGGAAAACUGGGGUUUGUUUAGUCUGGAGAAGAGAAGACAGAGGGGACAUGAUGACAGUUUUCAAGUCCAUAAAAGUUUGUUACAAGGAGGAGGGAGAAGAAUCGUUCUUCUUAACCUCUGAGUUCAGGACAAGAAGCGAUGGGCUUAAAUUACAGCAAGGGCGGUUUAGGUUGGACAUUAGGAAAAACUUCCUACCUGUCCGGGUGGUCAAGCCCUGGGAUAAAUUGCCCAGGGAGGUUGUGGAAUCUCUGUCACUGGAGAUUUUGAAGAGCAGGUUAGACAAACACCUGUCAGGGAUGGUCUAGAUCAGUGCUUCUCAAGCUAUCUGAUGUGGGGGACUGGCAGUGUUUUUCCCAAUGUGCGCGCAGACCGGCAGCCGACGGCUCGCGGACCGGUGCCGGUCCGCAGACCACCACUUUGAGUAGCGCUGAUUUAGAUAAUACUUAGUCCUGCCAUGAGUGCAGGGGACUGGACGAGAUGACCUCUCGAGGUCCCUUCCAGUCCUAUGAUUCUAUGAUGCAGCUGUCUCUGGGGCAGGGUGGUUGGGGAACAGCUGCACAUAACGCUGCAUGGGGACAGCUCCCUUAAACUGCAGGUCCCCAAAUUGGGGUUCAGCCCAAACACCUGGGUUCACACCCUGGCUGUUGGAGUUCAGUGCUGGAGUGGGGCUCUGGUUCGCCCCGCUUCCUAUCAGCUGGGCAGUGCUCCCCACAAGGCCCCAUGGGGGGAGCUGAGCAGGGGUCACUCCUUGGGGUGCUUUCUGUCUGUAUCUCGUCUGGUGUCGUUCUGUCCAGCUGCCAUGUUUUCCUUCCCCUCCUUCAUGGUUUUGACGCCCUGGGGUUUGGCCCAGAUGCCUGGGUUCACUCUUUCAAUCUCUCGCCCACUUCCUUCCGUUUUUACUGCAUUCUCCCUGUUUUU